rnacentral:rRNA from 1 species
UACGAAGGGGGCUAGCGUUAAUCGGAAUUACUGGGCGUAAAGCGCGCGUAGGUGGUUCGUUAAGUUGGAUGUGAAAUCCCCGGGCUCAACCUGGGAACUGCAUUCAAAACUGUCGAGCUAGAGUAUGGUAGAGGGUGGUGGAAUUUCCUGUGUAGCGGUGAAAUGCGUAGAUAUAGGAAGGAACACCAGUGGCGAAGGCGACCACCUGGACUGAUACUGACACUGAGGUGCGAAAGCGUGGGGAGCAAAC